UACGAAGGGUGCUAGCGUUGUUCGGAGUUACUGGGCGUAAAGAGUGCGUAGGCGGUUUUCUAAGUUUGGUGUGAAAUCUCCCGGCUCAACUGGGAGGGUGCGCCGAAGACUGGAAGGCUUGAGUAUGGGAGAGGUAAGCGGAAUUCCUGGUGUAGCGGUGAAAUGCGUAGAUAUCGUAAGGAAGACCAGUGGCGAAGGCGAGUCUCUGGACAGCAACUGACGCUGAGGCACGAAGGCCAGGGGAGCAAACGGG
rnacentral:rRNA from 1 species